rnacentral:rRNA from 1 species
GACGAACGCUGGCGGCGUGCUUAACACAUGCAAGUCGAACGGUAAGGCCCUUCGGGGUACACGAGUGGCGAACGGGUGAGUAACACGUGGGUGAUCUGCCCUGCACUUCGGGAUAAGCCUGGGAAACUGGGUCUAAUACCGGAUAGGGCCACUGCCCGCAUGGGUGGUGGUGGAAAGCUUUUGCGGUGUGGGAUGGGCCCGCGGCCUAUCAGCUUGUUGGUGGGGUGAUGGCCUACCAAGGCGACGACGGGUAGCCGGCCUGGGAGGGUGACCGGCCACACUGGGACUGAGAUACGGCCCAGACUCCUACGGGAGGCAGCAGUGGGGAAUAUUGCACAAUGGGCGCAAGCCUGAUGCAGCGACGCCGCGUGAGGGAUGACGGCCUUCGGGUUGUAAACCUCUUUCAGCACCGACGAAGCGCAAGUGACGGUAGGUGCAGAAGAAGGACCGGCCAACUACGUGCCAGCCGCCGCCGUAA